UACAGAGGUCUCGAGCGUUGUUCGGAUUCACUGGGCGUAAAGGGUGCGUAGGUGGUGAGGUAAGUCGGAUGUGAAAGCUCGGAGCUCAACUCCGAAAUGGCAUUGGAAACUACCUUGCUCGAGGGUUGGAGGGGGGACUGGAAUACUUGGUGUAGCAGUGAAAUGCGUAGAUAUCAAGUGGAACACCAGUGGCGAAGGCGAGUCCCUGGACAACUCCUGACACUGAGGCACGAAAGCUAGGGGAGCAAACAGG
rnacentral:rRNA from 1 species